AGACCCCACUAAGUGCAGGUCCAUGGAGGGGCCUCAGAUUCCAGACCAUCCCAGGUGAGGCUCAUGCUGCUGGUCCAAGGAUCACACCUGGAGUAGCAAGGAUGUAGAUGUUUCCAGAAGGAUCCGGAAGGAUCCAGUUGAGACAGAGAAGGAGGCUCAUUUGUCUUGAAGAGCUCUUCAUUUACCUGCCCUGCCACGAAGGCCACAGGCAGCACAGUUGGAAACAACCUUGCCUGCUUGUUCCUAUGUCUGCUUUAAGAGCACAGCUUGAGGAUUCUGGAGCCGCUGUGCCUGUGCCUCUCCAUUCCUGCACCGACACACACGCAUCCUGGGCCACAUUCCCAGAUGUGGGUCCCACUCCAAACAGGAGUCCCGGAGGCCAAGGAUGACGAGGUCUGAGUCCUCGGCACCAGUCACAGGCUGACUGACCCUCCCAGUGUGCGGUGAGGGGAAGAAUGAAUGAAGAACCAGCGAUUAUUGGCCGAGAGCACACAGUAGGCGCUCAGUCAAGGUAAGCUAAAGGGCUGAAUGACCGCUAGUGACUCCCCAGGCACUCUGUGGACACCCCCCGCCAGGAACUCGCAGAUUGGAGGGUCCCACCGGGCAGAGCCCCUGUGGGCCGGGCACGCAGGCUCCCGGCUCGGCCCCCAGGGGGCGCGUCCCCCCCCACUCCCCGUUGCGUGUGUGGCGUCUUCGUGGCGGCCGUGAACGUGGACAGGCGGCUCCACUUGGAGCUAGGGAACCGGAAGCCCAGAGAAGGGAGCGCGGGCCAGGGCAGCCACCAGGGUCCCCUGAUGGCCAUCUGCCCCACAGCUGGUGCUGAGUGACAGGUGCUUCAGCGGGGGCCUGGAGGUGCUGGUGGAGCAGACACCUGGCCUGAGCCACCGGAGCCUCAGCUGCACCUCAUCAAGGACGUCGCAGCCCUGAAGCCCCUGACACUGAGCAUGAAACAGUGACAGAGGACAACUCUGAUGAGGACUCAGAAGAUGGGAAGGAGGCCGUAAGGAGCGGAACAGGAUGGGGUGGGGCUCGGGACCUGGUCCUUGGGUUCCUGCUCGCAGCAAGAGGAAGAAGAGGAGAAUGAGGAGGGAC